rnacentral:misc_RNA from 1 species
GAUGAAGAACGUAGCGAAAAGCGAUAAGUAAUGUGAAUUGCAGAAUUCAGUGAAUCAUCGAAUCUUUGAACGCACAUUGCGCCCAUUAGUAUUCUAGUGGGCAUGCCUGUUCGAGCGUCAUUUCAACCCUUAAGCCUAGCUUAGUGAUGGGAAUCUGCUGUAUUGCAGUUCCUCAAAUACAACGGCGGAUCUGUAACAUCCUCUGAGCGUAGUAAAUUUUUAUCUCGCUUUUGUUAGGUGUUGCAGCUCUCAGCCGCUAAACCCCCCAAUUUUUGUGGUUGACCUCGGAUCAGGUAGGAAUACCCGCUGAACUUAAGCAUAUCAAUAAGCGGAGGA